AUUUUCAAAAAUUUCCUAUUUUUCAAUGUCAAAUUAGUUUUAAUCAAAUCUGAUAACUAUAUGAAUUAUAUCGGCACGGAUGAUGAAAGAUGGAAUUGUAGUGGAUCGAAAAUGCAUAUUUCUCUUUGAUGCCAGCUGGGAUGGGCUAAGAUCAAAUUAGCAUAGGAAUAUAACCUCCUCAGGGUUUGUUUGGUGCCAUCUCCAUUUGGCGUCCUUCUGUGGGAUUUCAGUUUCAGCCUCAGUUUGAGGCUUUGGUGAGCCGCCCGUUCGUGCGUCCACAGUCGCCUCUGCCCCACAGCUGUUGCUGUUACCGACGCGACGGAUAGAGGGGAACCGUAGAGAGGCUUUCGUUUAAGCUGACAUAUGGGCGUUAGUGGUAAUUUUUCAGCGGAAUUUAUUGGGAGCGCUUUAAGAAUCAUUAGCCCAGCAUUUUGGAGGGAUCUUCAUUACUUACUAAUAUACGACGUUUUGAAAAAUUGCUUCUGGCCACAACAUUUCUAGGGAGUAGAGCAGGCUUCUCAAUCGCUUGUCACAGGCCGUCGGCUCGCAUUUUUUAAUACAUGAAGAAAUCGAAUUCCACAGCAUUUUAAAAGCAUCACUCAAGUCAAUUCCAAUGGCCUUGGAAGGGUUGUAGGGUUUCGUUUUUACAAAUGAAUUUUCCGACUUGAACGGAUACUCGAGCAAUGUGCCAGCCGACAGCUUUGCCAAAACAUGGCUUCCAUUCCUCGUUUCCUUGUCUCUCUAGUAAAAAUAUUAAAAAAUUCCCACAAAA